CCUUCCAGCUCCACAGAGAAGCAAACAAACAGAGCAAAGUUCAGCCUCUGGGAAAGUUUGGACAGGGCUCAAGGGAAACGUUUGCUCAAUUUCAGGGUCCAGCAUGACUCAGGAAGAAGAAAGAGGCUGCGCUGAACCCCACCACGAGAAAGGGAGGGCGGGUAGCAAGAGGGUACUAGGCUUUGCCUGGAGAAAACGGCCCUGGGACCGCCCUGGGUGGGGAGGAGAAAAGCGCCUUUUGCACAUGGGCUGUGCCGGUUUACACUCCCUCCACCAUGAGUGAAAGCGGCAGUUUCUAGGACGUUUUGCCAACACUGAAUCCAAACAGUUUAAAGCAUCCUUCCUGCAGCAGUCUGUACUCACGUUGAUCUAUCUUCUCCUCCAGUUUCUUGCAUACGACUGGUUGGUGCAAAGCACCUAGAAGCUGUUUAAAGGAAAGAAAAAAAGAACAUUAAAAAAAUCAGGAGUGGGGCUUCCCUGGUGGUGCAGUGGUUGAGAAUCCACCUGCCAAUGCAGGGGUCACGGGUUUGAUCCCUGGUCCGGGAAGAUCCCACAUGCCGUGGAGCAACUGAGCCCAUGCGCCACAACUGCUGAGCCUCUGCUCUAGAGUCCGUGAGCUGCAACUACUGAGCCCGCGUGCUGCAACUACUGAAGCCUGCGCACCUAGAGCCCGUGCUCCACAACAAGAGAAGCCACCGCAAUGAGAAGCCCGCACACUGCAAUGAAGAGUAGCCUCCGCUCGCCACAACUAGAGAAAGCCCGCACGCAGCAACGAAGACCCAACACAGCCAAAAAUAAAUAAACAAAAUAAAUAAUAAAAAAAUAAAGUUAAUCUAUGUAAUUAUGUAUGUACCAGUACUUUACUCCUUUAAAAAAAAAUCAGGAGUGAUGGAUGGAACUGUUCUAUAUUUUGGCUGUGUUGGUGUUACACAAGUAUAUGCAUUUGUCUAAAUUCAUAGAACUAAACACCAAAAAGAGCGAAUUUUAUUACUGUAUGUAAACUUAA